rnacentral:tRNA from 1 species
GGUCCUGUGGCCGAGGGGCUUAGGCACUGGUCUGCAAAACCAGUUACAGCGGUUCGAAUCCGCUCGGGACCUCAA